rnacentral:rRNA from 1 species
CUGCAGCUCAAGUGGUGACCACUAUUAUUGGGCCUAAAACGUUCGUAGCCGGUUUGGUAAAUGCCUGGGUAAAUCGUGUAGCUUAACUAUACGAAUUCCGGGUAGACUGCCAAACUUGAGACCGGGAGAAGCUAGAGGUACUCCUGGGGUAGAGGUGAAAUUCUGUAAUCCUGGGGGGACCACCAGUGGCGAAGGCGUCUAGCUAGAACGGGUCUGACGGUGAGGAACGAAGCCCUGGGGCGCAAACCGGAUUAGAUACCCGCGUAGUCC